AACUGGCUGUGACGAAUACAGGUGAUCUACGCCACUCCACUCCUUCAUUUUACAGGAGAGGCAAGAAAAGUCAGUGGAAGUCACCAAACAGGAGAAGAUCUCAACUUGAGAAUCUGAAGAUGCAACUUGUUCUCUCUAGAGAGUUUCUAAGAAGUUUGUAUGAAGUUUGAUGAAAAUCAUUGAACUCAUCUGAAAGUUUUUGUGAUACAGACAACAUCAGAUGUUAUGGUUGAGUUUAAACCUCAAUUCACUUAUGAGGCAAAGUUAUUAAGGAAGGGGAAAGAAUUGUAAUUGGUUUAAUAGCGAAAAAAGGAAACAAAAAGGAUGAGAUGCAUUACUUAAAAUAUGAUCAUUUGAUUGCUAACCUACCACAAGUAGGAUUUGAUAUUUAUUCUUCUUUCCUAUUCUCUCUUUCUCUCUAUUCCCACAGACUUAAAAAAGUCUCCUAGGAUUUUAUUUCUAAUUCUACUCCUUGCUCUCAGUCAGAAAUAGGGUAAAUUUGAGCACAAUUCUAGGAUGUUGUACCCAUUCUGUGGAAAGUCUGGUGGCUUGACUGAGAUCAGAGAGUUUCUUCUUACAAUUUACAUCCUCCAAAUACUCCUCAAUCCAGUGACCCCGCAUCUCCUUGUUCUUGCAUGAGACAUGCUAUUACCUGAUCAGUGUGGAGAAGAGAGAAAUGACAAGAAAAUGCAGUAAGACAAGAAGCUGGAGAUGGAUCGUGUCAGUCAAAUGAAGAUUCCAUUUGGAAUGUGACUGGGAAACAGUUGGACGCAAGAGCCAACUGUUUAAAUGGAUUCCCAUUCUUGAGACCUUUUCCCUUCUCAUCUCUACCUUCUGACUAUUCUGUCUUUCUUAAAAUCUAAGUUCCCAAUUAAAGUCCCACCUUCUAUUCAAUGACUUUCCUAAUCCUCCUUCCCUUUUUAUAAACAGAGGAACUGGCUACGAAGGGUGGAAAUGAUGGGAACCCUAAAAGGAAGUGAUGGUUCCCUCUUAGAAAUUGUGAUAGAGAAGUGAGAGUUAGUAUUAGUUCUUGACAAAAUGAGAGGCAAGGGCUAGGUGAUCAGAGUUAAGUGACUUGCUCAGGGUCAUACAGCUAGAAAGUGUGUGAGGACAGAUUUGAAUCCAGGUCUUCCAGAGAGGUCUGGUGUUCCAUCCAAUGAAUUGCCUCGAUGCCCC
rnacentral:lncRNA from 1 species